rnacentral:rRNA from 1 species
UACGUAGGUGGCAAGCGUUGUCCGGAUUUACUGGGCGUAAAGAGCGCGCAGGCGGUCGGCCAAGUCGAGUGUGAAAGCCCCCGGCUCAACUGGGGAGGGUCAUUCGAUACUGGUCAACUCGAAGGCAGGAGAGGGAAGCGGAAUUCCCGGUGUAGUGGUGAAAUGCGUAGAUAUCGGGAGGAACACCGGUGGCGAAGGCGGCGACCUGGGUCGAUACUGACGCUGAGGUGCGAAAGCGUGGGGAGCAAACAGG